rnacentral:rRNA from 1 species
UACGUAGGUGGCAAGCGUUGUUCGGAAUUAUUGGGCGUAAAGGGCGUGUAGGCGGCGCCACAAGUCACUUGUGAAAACUCUGGGCUCAACUCAGAGCCUGCAAGCGAAACUGUGGUGCUGGAGUAUGGGAGAGGUGCGUGGAAUUCCCGGUGUAGCGGUGAAAUGCGUAGAUAUCAGGAGGAACACCGGUGGCGAAAGCGGCGCACUGGACCAUAACUGACGCUGAGGCGCGAAAGCUAGGGGAGCAAACAGG